rnacentral:pre_miRNA from 1 species
AGCCUUUAGAGUCCGUGUAGAGAUUUCGUCAGAUACUAACCCAUUAGGACUGAUCGGGCUUCCAAGAUCAGUGAAGCU